rnacentral:tRNA from 1 species
GGGGAUAUAGCUCAGUGGUAGAGCAUGUGCUUAGCAUGCACUAGGUCCUGGUUCUAUCUCCAGUACCUCCA